rnacentral:rRNA from 1 species
UCAGGAUGAACGCUAGCGGCAGGCCUAACACAUGCAAGUCGAGGGGUAACAGGCGGUAGCAAUACUGUGCUGACGACCGGCGCACGGGUGCGUAACGCGUAUGCAACCUGCCCGUAACAGGGGGAUAAAUCAGGGAAACUUGACCUAAUACCCCAUAUUGCCAAACCACCGCAUGAUGGGUUGGCGAAAGUUUCGAUGGUUACGGAUGGGCAUGCGUGACAUUAGCUAGUUGGUGGGGCAACGGCCCACCAAGGCGACGAUGUCUAGGGGAGCUGAGAGGCUAAUCCCCCACACUGGUACUGAGACACGGACCAGACUCCUACGGGAGGCAGCAGUGAGGAAUAUUGGUCAAUGGUGGGAACACUGAACCAGCCAUGCCGCGUGAGGGAGGAAAAGGCCCUAUGGGUUGUAAACCUCUUUUGCACGGGAGUAAUAAGGCUCAUGCGUGGGCCGAUGAGAGUACCGUGCGAAUAAGCAUCGGCUAACUCCGUGCCAGCAGCUGC